CCGUCGGGUUUUCAGAGUGGGAAGUGAUUCUCUCCACGUCCAAAGGCCUAGACCUCGUUUGGGCGCAAGUUCUAUCCGAUCCAUUCUUGAGACGGCUCAUCCUCAGAUUCAUCUUCUGCCGGUUUGUCCUGAAGGCCUUCUCCCGGUCAGAAGAUCUUGAAUCUAGCUCGCCCCUCUGCUUUCCCGACCUCCCGGGCUCCGUCUCGUCGGGGUCUGAACCCGUGAAAUCUGUUCUUCGCCGACUGGCCGACCACCUGGGAGUCACCGAAUGUUUCAGAUUCUGACAGGGCAUAGAAUAUGGUAAAAACGUUAGAGCCUAUCUCCACUGGUUUGUUAUACGAAGACAAGUGGUAUUUAGGUGGUGGGGGAUUUGAGUAAAGUGUGAUUUGGGGAUUCUCUAUGAUUCUUUUUUUUUUGUCAUUUUGUAAAAGAGAAAGCCAAUGUAGCUAUGAAAUUGAACCGUGUUUUAGAAGAACAAACAUAUAUAUAUAUAUAUAUUAUUAGUCUUUUUUUUUUGGGUUUUUAUUCCUUCUUAGUGUUGUACGGACUACGGAGGUAAACAUAAUAAUUUAAUGUGCAUUGCUUAA